CCUACGGGAGGCAGCAGUGGGGAAUAUUGCACAAUGGGGGAAACCCUGAUGCAGCGACGCCGCGUGAGCGAUGACGUAUUUCGGUAUGUAAAGCUCUAUCAGCAGGGAAGCAAAUGACGGUACCUGACUAAGAAGCCCCGGCUAAAUACGUGCCAGCAGCCGCGGUAAUACGUCGGGAGCAAGCGUUAUCCGGAUUUACUGGGUGUAAAGGGGGCGUAGACGGUCCUGCAGGCCAGAUGUGAAAGCCCGGGGCUCAACCCCGGGACUGCAUUUGGAACUGUAAGGCUAGAGUGGCGGAGAGGCAGGCGGAAUGCCUAGUGUAGCGGUGAAAUGCGUAGAUAUUAGGAGGAACACCAGUGGCGAAGGCGGCGUGCUGGACGAUGACUGACGUUGAGGCUCGAAAGCGUGGGGAGCAAACAGGAUUAGAUACCCCAGUAGUC
rnacentral:rRNA from 1 species